rnacentral:rRNA from 1 species
UACAGAGGGGGCGAGCGUUGUUCGGAAUUACUGGGCGUAAAGCGCUCGUAGGCGGCUUUGUAAGUCAGAUGUGAAAGCCUGGAGCUUAACUCCAGAAGUGCCUUUGAGACUGCAUCGCUUGAAUCCAGGAGAGGUGAGUGGAAUUCCGAGUGUAGAGGUGAAAUUCGUAGAUAUUCGGAAGAACACCAGUGGCGAAGGCGGCUCACUGGACUGGUAUUGACGCUGAGGUGCGAGAGCGUGGGGAGCAAACAGG